rnacentral:rRNA from 1 species
UACGGGGGGGAGCAAGCGUUGUUCGGAUUUACUGGGCGUAAAGGGCGCGUAGGCGGUCAGCACAAGUCAGUUGUGAAAUCUCCGGGCUUAACUCGGAAAGGUCAACUGAUACUGUGCGACUAGAGUGCAGAAGGGGCAACUGGAAUUCUCGGUGUAGCGGUGAAAUGCGUAGAUAUCGGAAGGAACACCUGUGGCGAAAGCGGCUCACUGGACCAUUACUGACGCUGAUGCACGAAAGCUAGGGGAGCAAACAGG